rnacentral:rRNA from 1 species
CCUACGGGAGGCAGCAGUGGGGAAUAUUGCACAAUGGAGGAAACUCUGAUGCAGCGACGCCGCGUGAGGGAAGAAGGUCUUCGGAUUGUAAACCUCUGUUGUCAGGGACGAUAAUGACGGUACCUGACGAGGAAGCCACGGCUAACUACGUGCCAGCAGCCGCGGUAAAACGUAGGUGGCAAGCGUUGUCCGGAAUUACUGGGUGUAAAGGGAGCGCAGGCGGGAGAGCAAGUUGGAAGUGAAAUCUGUGGGCUCAACUCACAAAUUGCUUUCAAAACUGUUUUUCUUGAGUGGUGUAGAGGUAGGCGGAAUUCCCGGUGUAGCGGUGGAAUGCGUAGAUAUCGGGAGGAACACCAGUGGCGAAGGCGGCCUACUGGGCACUAACUGACGCUGAGGCUCGAAAGCAUGGGUAGCAAACAGGAUUAGAUACCCUGGUAGUCC